AUUGAACGCUGGCGGCAGGCCUAACACAUGCAAGUCGAGCGGAUGAAGGGAGCUUGCUCCUGGAUUCAGCGGCGGACGGGUGAGUAAUGCCUAGGAAUCUGCCUGGCAGUGGGGGAUAACGUCCGGAAACGGGCGCUAAUACCGCAUACGUCCUGAGGGAGAAAGUGGGGGAUCUUCGGACCUCACGCUAUCAGAUGAGCCUAGGUAGGAUUAGCUAGUUGGUGGGGUAAAGGCCUACCAAGGCGACGAUCCGUAACUGGUCUGAGAGGAUGAUCAGUCACACUGGAACUGAGACACGGUCCAGACUCCUACGGGAGGCAGCAGUGGGGAAUAUUGGACAAUGGGCGAAAGCCUGAUCCAGCCAUGCCGCGUGUGUGAAGAAGGUCUUCGGAUUGUAAAGCACUUUAAGUUGGGAGGAAGGGCAGUAAGUUAAUACCUUGCUGUUUUGACGUUACCAACAGAAUAAGCACCGGCUAACUUCGUG
rnacentral:rRNA from 1 species